UACAGAGGUGGCAAGCGUUGUUCGGAAUUACUGGGCGUAAAGGGCUCGUAGGCGGCCAACUAAGUCAGACGUGAAAUCCCCAGGCUCAACCUGGGAACUGCGUCUGAUACUGGAUGGCUUGAAUCCGGGAGAGGGAUGCAGAAUUCCAGGUGUAGCGGUGAAAUGCGUAGAUAUCUGGAGGAAUACCGGUGGCGAAGGCGGCAUCCUGGACCGGCAUUGACGCUGAGGAGCGAAAGCUAGGGGAGCAAACGGG
rnacentral:rRNA from 1 species